CGUAUGCGGUGGUACCGGCGGUGGCUCCGGUGAGCUAUGGAGAUGGUUCAACUUCCAGAGGCUUCCUCAUAAAUUUUUGGAAUUUUUGAGACACAGAUAAACUUCGGGUGAUCGAGGUCAGCUAUUUUUCUGCAUCCAGCAGCCACAAUAGUCAUCGGUGUACUGCCACAGGAGGAGUUAUUUUACAGAGCAACCUGGUUUCUUUCUCGCAGGUUUAACGUCGAUUAUUUAAUUGUUUUACUAUCUUUUCUAAAUUUAAAAUCUAGAACUCCGCAUGUGUUAGAAAUAGUGUGGACCAUGGUGGAGGUUGUGUUAAUUUAAAUUUUUGAGAUUAAUAAAUGAAGAUUUGUAUGGUA